rnacentral:rRNA from 1 species
UUUUAGUAGGGAAGAAGCGAAAGUGACGGUACCUGCAGAAAAAGCACCGGCUAACUACGUGCCAGCAGCCGCGGUAAUACGUAGGGUGCAAGCGUUGUCCGGAAUUAUUGGGCGUAAAGAGCUCGUAGGCGGUUUGUCGCGUCUGCUGUGAAAUCCCGAGGCUCAACCUCGGGCUUGCAGUGGGUACGGGCAGACUAGAGUGCGGUAGGGGAGAUUGGAAUUCCUGGUGUAGCGGUGGAAUGCGCAGAUAUCAGGAGGAACACCGAUGGCGAAGGCAGAUCUCUGGGCCGUAACUGACGCUGAGGAGCGAAAGCAUGGGGAGCGAACAGGAUUAGAUACCCUGGUAGUCCAUGCCGUAAACGUUGGGCGCUAGAUGUAGGGACCUUUCCACGGUUUCUGUGUCGUAGCUAACGCAUUAAGCGCCCCGCCUGGGGAGUACGGCCGCAAGGCUAAAACUCAAAGGAAUUGACGGGGGCCCGCACAAGCGGCGGAGCAUGCGGAUUAAUUCGAUGCAACGCGAAGAACCUUACCAAGGCUUGACAUACACCGGAAACGGCCAGAGAUGGUCGCCCCCUUGUGGUCGGUGUACAGGUGGUGCAUGGUUGUCGUCAGCUCGUGUCGUGAGAUGUUGGGUUAAGUCCCGCAACGAGCGCAACCCUCGUUCUAUGUUGCCAGCGGGUUAUGCCGGGGACUCAUAGGAGACUGCCGGGGUCAACUCGGAGGAAGGUGGGGAUGACGUCAAAUCAUCAUGCCCCUUAUGUCUUGGGCUUCACGCAUGCUACAAUGGCCGGUACAAAGGGCUGCGAUACCGUAAGGUGGAGCGAAUCCCAAAAAGCCGGUCUCAGUUCGGAUUGAGGUCUGCAACUCGACCUCAUGAAGUCGGAGUCGCUAGUAAUCGCAGAUCAGCAACGCUGCGGUGAAUACGUUCCCGGGCCUUGUACACACCGCCCGUCAAGUCAUGAAAGUCGGUAACACCCGAAGC